UACACUCUUAUGCUUCCUUGAAUUGCCUCAAUACAGUUUAAUUUCUUAUCUGCAAAGACAACAAAUAAAUAUGAAACUUUUUUGGUUUCUUCAAUGUUUAUUCUUCCUUGCAAUGCUUCUCAUCCAUCCUUCAAUUGCUGGCAGGUAACUCUUUAUUAACCAUAUAACUAACUAGCUAGCUAGGCUGUAUUUAAACACUGCGAGUUUUAAAUGAGAUGGUUUGCUUCUUUUGCAGAAUGAUUCCGCCAACUCCUCCUCCACCAGCUGGCCGCUUCAGGGAUCAACCAGUUCAGUCCCCGCCUCCACCAAUUGGCGGCCCUGGUUCACGCCCGUAAAGAGUGACUGACAAUACAUCAAGAACUUAAGACAAUUUCAUGCGUAUCUUGUAUCUAUUUGUUAUAAACUUCUUUUUCCUGGGAUCAAAUAACCAUGGUCAUAUGUCAUUGUGUUCUUAGGCUAUAUUUUGAUUGGUGAAAUAAAAUGGAAUCAUAAUGGCUUGGAAUUUCUUUUAUUGUAAUAAUAUUAAUAUCUCCCGUUGAUACCUGAUAUUGCUGCUG
rnacentral:lncRNA from 1 species